rnacentral:rRNA from 1 species
GACGAACGCUGGCGGCGUGCUUAACACAUGCAAGUCGAACGGAAAGGCCCUGCUUUUGUGGGGUGCUCGAGUGGCGAACGGGUGAGUAACACGUGAGUAACCUGCCCUUGACUUUGGGAUAACUUCAGGAAACUGGGGCUAAUACCGGAUAGGAGCUCCUGCUGCAUGGUGGGGGUUGGAAAGUUUCGGCGGUUGGGGAUGGACUCGCGGCUUAUCAGCUUGUUGGUGGGGUAGUGGCUUACCAAGGCUUUGACGGGUAGCCGGCCUGAGAGGGUGACCGGCCACAUUGGGACUGAGAUACGGCCCAGGCUCCUACGGGAGGCAGCAGUGGGGAAUAUUGCACCAUGGGCGGAAGCCUGAUGCAGCAACGCCGCGUGCGGGAUGACGGCCUUCGGGUUGUAAACCGCUUUCGCCUGUGACGAAGCGUGAGUGACGGUAAUGGGUAAAGAAGCACCGGCUAACUACG